UGGAUCCAGACUUGAUUAUGGCUCAGGACGAACGCUGGCGGCGUGCCUAACACAUGCAAGUCGAGCGGGGAUCGCCAGAGGAAGCCUUCGGGUGGAAUUGGGUGAUUCUAGCGGCGGACGGGUGAGUAACGCGUGAGCAAUCUGCCUUUCACAGGGGGAUAACACACCGAAAGGUGUACUAAUACCGCAUGAGACCACAGUGGGGACAUCCCAUAGGGGUCAAAGGAGAAAUCCGGUGAAAGAUGAGCUCGCGUCUGAUUAGCUGGUUGGUGAGGUAACGGCCCACCAAGGCGACGAUCAGUAGCCGACCUGAGAGGGUGAUCGGCCACAUUGGAACUGAGAGACGGUCCAAACUCCUACGGGAGGCAGCAGUGGGGAAUAUUGGGCAAUGGGGGAAACCCUGACCCAGCAACGCCGCGUGAAGGAAGAAGGUUUUCGGAUCGUAAACUUCUAUCCUUGGUGAAAAUGAUGAUGGUAGCCAAGAAGGAAGCCCCGGCUAACUACGUGCCAGCAGCCGCGGUAAUACGUAGGGGGCAAGCGUUGUCCGGAAUGAUUGGGCGUAAAGGGCGCGUAGGCGGCCUUUUAAGUCUGAAGUGAAAGUCCUGCUUUUAAGGUGGGAACUGCUUUGGAUACUGGAAGGCUUGAGUGCAGGAGAGGUAAGCGGAAUUCCCGGUGUAGCGGUGAAAUGCGUAGAGAUCGGGAGGAACACCAGUGGCGAAGGCGGCUUACUGGACUGUUACUGACGCUGAGGCGCGAAAGUGUGGGGAGCAAACAGGAUUAGACACCCUGGUAGUCCACACUGUAAACGAUGAAUGCUAGGUGUAGGGGGUAUCGACCCCUUCUGUGCCGGAGUCAACACAAUAAGCAUUCCGCCUGGGGAGUACGGCCGCAAGGUUGCAACUCAAAGGAAGUGACGGA
rnacentral:rRNA from 1 species